rnacentral:rRNA from 1 species
AGUGAACGCUGGCGGUAGGCCUAACACAUGCAAGUCGAACGGCAGCACAGUAAGAGCUUGCUCUUACGGGUGGCGAGUGGCGGACGGGUGAGGAAUACAUCGGAAUCUACUUUUUCGUGGGGGAUAACGUAGGGAAACUUACGCCAAUACCGCAUCCGACCUACGGGUGAAAGCAGGGGACCUUCGGACCUUGCGCGAUUGAAUGAGCCGCUGUCGGAUUAGCUAGUUGGCGGGUUAAAGGCCCACCAAGGCGACGAUCCGUAGCUGGUCUGAGAGGAUGAUCAGCCACACUGGAACUGAGACACGGUCCAGACUCCUACGGGAGGCAGCAGUGGGGAAUAUUGGACAAUGGGCGCAAGCCUGAUCCAGCCAUACCGCGUGGGUGAAGAAGGCCUUCGGGUUGUAAAGCCCUUUUGUUGGGAAAGAAAAGCAGCAGGUUAAUACCCCGCUGUUCUGACGGUACUCAAAGAAUAAGCACCGGCUAACUUCGUG